UACGGAGGGUGCAAGCGUUAUCCGGAUUCACUGGGUUUAAAGGGUGCGUAGGUGGGCAGGUAAGUCAGUGGUGAAAUCUCCGUGCUUAACAUGGAAACUGCCAUUGAUACUACUGGUCUUGAAUUUUCCGGAGGUAAGCGGAAUAUGUCAUGUAGCGGUGAAAUGCUUAGAUAUGACAUAGAACACCAAUUGCGAAGGCAGCUUACUACAGGGAUAUUGACACUGAGGCACGAAAGCGUGGGGAGCAAACAGG
rnacentral:rRNA from 1 species